rnacentral:lncRNA from 1 species
AUUUUAUUUUAAAUAUAGGGUCUUGCUCUGUGGCCCAGGCUGGAGUGCAGUGGUGUGAUCAUAGCUCAUCGCAGCCUCAAAACUCCUGGGCUCAAGCAGUCCUCCCACCUUGGCCUUCCAAGUAGCUGGGACCACAGGCAUGUGGCCACCACCCGCACCUGGCUAAUUUUUAAAUUUUGUAUAGAGAUGGAGUCUCACUGUGUUGCCCAGGCUGGUGUUGAACUCUUGGCCUCAAGUGAUCCUCCCACCUCAGCCUUCCUGAAGUGCUGGGAUUACAGGCAUGAGUCGCUGCACCCAGUCUGGGUUCUUAACAAGCCUAUGCAAAAUUUAAAAUCUCUGUUGCAUCUGUCAGUCUCGAAUCUCAAAAAAUUACCUUUUGACCUGUCAGGCAAAUUGGUUUAAAACAUUCAAAAUGUCCUGGCUGGGCACGGUGGCUCACGCCUGUAAUCCCAGCACUUGGGGAGGCUGAGGCGGAUGGAUCACGAGGUCAGGAGUUCAAGACCAGCCUGGCCAGCACGGUAAAACCCCGUCUCUACUAAAAAAUACAAAAAUUAGCCAGGCUUGGUGGCAGGCGCCUGUAGUCCCAGCUACUUGGGAGGCUGAGACAGGAGAAUCGUUUGAACCCAGAAGGCGGAGGUUGCAGUGAGCCAAGAUCGCACCACUGGACUCCAGCCUGGGCAACACAGACUCUGUCUCAAUAAAUAAAAAUUCAAAAAAAUAAUGAUCCCCUCCAGCCCCCAAAACACACACUAGUCUUUCUCUUUUUGUCACAGCGCAUAAAAAGUGUUCACCCUGACGUGGGGAGACAUGGAAACGGGGAGUGAACAUUUGUGAAGUGACUCUUCAUUUGACAGGUGUUUUAAAAGCCUCCAGCAGUGACUAAGUGUUUGUGGAUGGGCGUCCGCGUGGGUAGAUGAACCGGUCCAUGUCAGCAGAGGAGCCGAGUCUCAGAGGGGAGCCGCGCUUUGCACGGAAAGCUCUGCAGCAGUGCGUGGCAGCCCUGUCGGUAGGUUCCCGUCGGCUCCUUGCCUUCUCAAAUGCAAGGAAUUGCUUAUCGAAUUCAACAGACACAUUCUCUUUUCAUUUAGCCUUCCAGAAUUUCAUCCUCUUCGUUUAAGCCCUUUUUAAAAUUUGGAGUUGAGGCUGGGCACGGUGGCUGACGCCUGUAAUCCUGGCACUUUGGGAGGCCAAGGCGGGUGGAUCACGAGGUCAGGAGUUUGAGACCAGCCUGGCCAAGGUGAUGAAACCCCAUUUCUACUAAAAAUACAAAAAUUAGCCGGGCAUGGUGUGGCAGGCACCUGUAAUCCCAUCUACGUGGGAGGCUGAGGCAGGAGAAUCGCUUGAAACUGGAAGGCAGAGGUUGCAGUGAGCCAAGAUCACACCAUUGCACUCCAGGCUGGGCAACAAGAGCGAAACUCCAUCUCAAAAAAAAAAAAAAUUGGGGUUGAUAGCAUUUAUUAAUUUUGAGAAUGAAAAUGUAAGAUGUAAGCAUUAUAGAAAAGCUGAGUAACAAUUUAUUUUGUAUAUCAAAGUCGUCCAUCAGUCAUUGCAGUAUAAAAUGUUCCAGGUGUAUUUCCACUUGGACUGGAUUUUUAAAAAUAACUGUGCCAUACAAUCGAGCGGUGAUCAAAGCUCAUGUAAUUAGGGCUAAGUCGUUCCCGUUGGGAGAGGCUAUUGUGGGACUUGUGCGUCGGGCCAAGGGAUGCUCUGGGCUCUGCUGUUGGAGCAGAGGAGGGAGCUCUGCCAGGCGCGCGGGCCUUUGCCCUCUUUAGGCAUUGCUCCUGCUUGGGGGUCCGUGACAGACAUCAGGUUAUGCCAUCAAGAGCCCCACGUGAAACAACUGCCUCCAAGUGGUGCAGGCGGGAGAGGCGGCCGGAGGAUGGCAGGAAUAAAGAGACACCCCCCUUCCGACAGGGGCCACCUGCCGUUCUGUCGGAGGAGUUGGGUUGGCAGCCGACAAAGCUGCUGCCCGCAUCCUGCCCAUCCAGUAAAGGCCUCGAGCCCUCACAAGGGGGCGCCCAAGAGGACGGCCACCACCCACCCAGAAGGGCACAGGUAGAAUGUGGUAGAAGUUUGAUCUCACUUCAGAUGGGGGGGAAAAAAAAAAAAAAAAGUCGCCUGUUCUUGCAGCUUCCCUCCCUCUUUCCUUCCUGCUCAUACAUUUGGAAUAAAUGGCCGGAGCUCUCCUGUACCCCUGCCUGUGUUAAGCGACCCUGAGAAAAGCGUGUUCUCUGCCUCUUCCAACCCACUCCGUUUCCCGUGGUUUCUGUGACUCCCCUGUUCCCAGAGGCCUACCCCAGGUGGGCAGAGCACAGGGAGAGGAAGUCCCUGAGAGCCGGACGCAGCUCGGCCCUGGCCUGCCCGCUUCUCCCUGACCACAAGACCAAGCCCGGCUGCACAAGCCCUGUCCUGUUAGAAGGGACAGUGGAGCUCCUACGUGAGAAAGUGUUGGAAGAAAUGGUGAAGAGUCCACUGCCUUCUGCUGCUGAAAGCCUGACCGAGAGGGGCGUCGGCUUCAGACUGGACCCCACACUGCCCCCGGGAGCCGUCAGCCGCGCUCAUCACCUUCGUCCACGUGCCAGGUGAGUGGGCGCCCGCGGCUGCCACCAGCGUCCAAGAGUCAGGGCUGAACAAAACACGUCCCCAUUCAUUCCCGCUGGUCACAGACCACUGAAGGAGGCCCACGAGACAGACUCACAAAGCGCGGUGAGGGCCCUUGAACGGGAGAUGGUCUUGGACUCGAGAAAGACGUGUUGGCCUUUGCUGAGAAGGGGCGGUUCAGUCAUGCUGUAUCCAGAAAACCAGGCACACUGUGGCGGGCAGAGCACCCUGCCUGAGAGAGAAAAUGGACACUGGGCCCACAGUCAGGAGAGCCAGAGCUCUCGGCAUCAGAGGAGCCCCAGGGUGGAGCCACGUGACUCCAUGCCGGGCUCAGUUUCCAUGUGACAGAAGUGCGUUCAUUAAAAAGCCCAGGGAGCAGGCAUCGAGGGAGGCCUCAGUGGUGGAAUCUGGUAGGUGUCGUCUCUGGUUAAUCUUGCGAGAGCUCGGGCCCCUCUCAGAGAGGGCAGGAGGUUGGACGGGCCUGGCUGCCGCGGACCCUCUGAGGGCCAUUGUGGAGCCGCCGGGGGAGGCAGGGGCCGCCGUGUUUGCUCGACUCCGGUGACUAUUUGGAUUUGCCUCAUCGUCACGGGAACACUGCAGCGGGGAAGAGUUGGACUGAACGCGUGGUGACCCCAGGACGCUUCUUGGAAAUUGCUUUUUAAAAUAAACCCCUGACAUCAGCCUGUU